rnacentral:rRNA from 1 species
AUGUCCUACGGGGCGCAGCAGUGAGGAAUAUUGGUCAAUGGGCGGAAGCCUGAACCAACCAAGUCGCGUGAGGGAAUAAGGCCCUACGGGUCGUAAACCUCUUUUGCCGGGGAGCAAGGGCGGGGACGUGUCCCGGCCCGGAGAGUACCCGGAGAAAAAGCAUCGGCUAACUCCGUGCCAGCAGCCGCGGUAAUACGGAGGAUGCGAGCGCUAUCCGGAUUUAUUGGGUUUAAAGGGUGCGUAUGCGGGCUUUUAAUUCAUC